UACGGAGGGUGCAAGCGUUAUCCGGAUUCACUGGGUUUAAAGGGAGCGCAGGCGGAUUAGUAAGUCAGUGGUGAAAGCCUUAAGCUUAACUUGGGAACUGCCAUUGAUACUAUUAGUCUUGAAUGUUGUUGAGGUUUGCGGAAUGGGUCAUGUAGCGGUGAAAUGCAUAGAUAUGACCCGGAACACCUAUUGCGAAGGCAGCUAUCUGGACUGUGAUUGACGCUGAGGCGCGAAAGCGUGGGGAGCAAACAGG
rnacentral:rRNA from 1 species